AAACGUUCCUGGUCUAUGCCAGUUAGCAUUAUGCUGUGUUAGAAAGCGUUUCUACUGUAAUUUACAGGUGCAUCUUCUCACAUGACAGCAACACCAAGUGAUGGGGGUGAUGUGUGGCUCCUACCGCCAGCAAUGAGUGGAGCCUUGCUUUGCCAUGGGAGGAGUCAAGCCACAUUGUUUCCCUCUGGCGGGGGCUCGCUGACUACGACCAGGAACGCACGGUGCAUGCUCUACAUCAUGAUGUCGGCAUCAACAAAGGAUGCUUUCGGGCCACAAAGAAAAUUGUAGCACCAAAAAGGUGCUUUGUUGGAGCACACAGUCCUGCACAGUGGCCAGACUGUAACAGGAUUGUAGGGGAAGCAUUUCUGAAUUUGUGUCUGGAGGUUCCAAACCCAAAGUGCACUGAUGGUGUCACACUUUUCAGGU